rnacentral:misc_RNA from 1 species
CCCUUGGUUCCGCGACUACUGGCUCCAAGAAUGCUUCCACGAUCCCCAAUUUGACCCUGUCAUCAACGAUAUUUGCGACCUCGACUCUCUCUUCUUCGACGCCGGCGAUGAUACUUGUACCCACAAACAGGAGGAGGAGGAGGAGGAGAAUGAGCAUAGCAGGGAUUUGGUAUCAUUGGGGGUGAUGAAAUGGCAAGUGGGUCGAGCUCAGCUUGUUCAGGCACCGAGGCAUGCGGAGAAGGCACCCAAGAUUGUGACUGUGAAAAUGAGUCCACGGUUGAUUCAGCAACCGAGGUAGAUUACGUGAUUCAACGAGUUUGAGGAUGAUCGAGAUGGGUUGCUUUUGUAGUUGUACUGUACAUAAGACCCUGACUUCCAUUUACUCGUUUGUUUUCUGUAUUUCAUGCUCUGUGUAUCAUCCUGUAAGCUUUUAACUUCUACUCUAUUUCAUAAUAAAAG